AGCAGCCUAAUAUGUCAAUCAUCGUCUUUCUGUACUUUUGUUGGAAGGUCAUGACCUAUCAGCCAAUGUAAUUACAAUCCCAGGUAGAGGGGCGGGGCUUAGCUGUAACCUGCAGAGAUCCAGUCAGAGAGACAGAAACGCUAAGUGAACGGACUUUGUGAGGUUUAGUAGGUUGUAGAAGGACAUUGUUAUCCAUUACUGAGGCUGACAACCAGUUAUGCUGUGUUUUGGCAUAUUGAAAUCGACAAGAGAGACGGACAUUUGUGACUGUAAAAGAGAGAGGAUCGGGGAAGCUCCUUUGGACCACACAGAGAGCGAUCUUCCAUCCUGCUGGUGUGAUGUAGACUGCCGCUGCUGUUUUCUGUUCUGCUGAUCUUCCUGCUGUGGUUUACCCGGUGCUCUGCCUGCUGCCAUCGCCAAGUUCGCCUUUAUAUCCCCUUGACUGGGAUUCUGACUCCCCUCAUCCGCUCCAUCUACAACUUCCUGUAAGGGAGAUCACAUUCUCCGAAACAGUGCUGAUCCAGUUCAACUUUUCCCGAGGAGGCUGCGGGGUCAUCCAUUGUUUUGAAAGGUGUCACUUGACUGUCAGCUCUCCAUCGCAGCCCUGCAUGGCAGUCAAGAAAAGAACCUCCUGAACCAUUCCUGCUUAACUCACCUCCACUGGACCUUGCACAUU